GAACGCACCUUGCGCCCUUUGGCUAUUCCGAAGGGCAUGCCUGUUUGAGUAUCACGAACACCUCAACUCUCAUGGCUUUGCCAUGAUGAGCUUGGACUUUGGGGGUCUUGCUGGCCUGUGGUCGGCUCCUCUCAAAUGAAUCAGCUUGCCAGUGUUUGGUGGCAUCACGGGUGUGAUAACUAUCUACGCUUGUGGUUUUCCACCAGGCAACCUUCAGUGAUGAAGGUUCGCUGGGGCUCAUAAAAUGUCUCUCCUCAGCGAGGACAGCUCUUUGAACGUUUGAUCUCAAAGCAGGUAGGACUACCCGCUGAACUUA
rnacentral:misc_RNA from 1 species